AGCUAAGGAUUUGCAUUCUCA
rnacentral:miRNA from 1 species